rnacentral:lncRNA from 1 species
AUUCCAACCUUUCUGUAUAUUUGGAGCAGAAUUUGGGGUCGGAUUGGUUUACACAUCUGUUAAGCCUACCACCUUGUCUGGAAGUGUUGGUAACUUCUGCAGCAUUCACAACAUUGGCUCACGUUGUAAUAACUCCACAAAAGUCCUCAAGGUCAGGGGACGAGGGACAAAAGUGACUGAACAAAGAGGGAGUGCCGAAAGUGUCCUUCCAUGAUGUAGAAGGGCUCUCAGCUGCCCCGGCCAAGGGCAUGGCUCGCUCUUCAACCCAAAGUCACAGAGGCAGAAGGGCCACUUUCUGUGUAGUCAGGAAUCUGGGUUCUCACCAUCAGCAGCCAUAUGGGUUUGGGAACAUUCGUCAGCUGGAGAACUUGCUGAUCUGGAAAAAGAGACUUUUCACAGGACAGCCCAAAAUAUUUUCUUAAACUUAUGGAAAAUUGGUAGUGACUUUCUUCAGGUGCCAGCUGCUGACAAGUAUUUUUGUUUAAAGAUAUACCAGGUGGAAAAAUAGUAGAAUGUUUCAAGGAACAUUUCAGUGGAUGAGGGUUGGCUGUUCCAGGGGUCACUUGAAAGAAAAAUCACCCUUGGUGUGACUAACACACUCAGAGUAGAGUGUGAGGAAUUCAAGCUGAAUUCUGAAUGGAGGCAGUCUCUUUAGGUGACUUAGAAUAUGUAUGUUGGGGCCCAGACCUUGACUGGGUCUGUUCCAACCGAGGGCUCAACACUUACUCCCUGGGCAUCUUGACCCCUCUCUGCCUCGGUUUCCACAUCUGUAAAAUGUAGAUAAAAAUUGUACCUACCUAUGGAACAUUGUAGCAUUAGGUGAUUUAAUGCAGGAAAAGGAUUUGGAAUAGUCAUUGACACACAGUGGGCAUGACAUAAACUUUGCUAUUAUCAUAUAUAAUGGGAUGUUAAAAAUCUCAGAGGUUUGUUUUGCUGACACCUCAGUGCUGAAAACAGUAGGGAUCAUGUACUCCCACCUUCCAAUGUGAAUCACUAAACCAACCAGACCAUCUAUGUUGCAAAAGGGGUGGCCAGAGUCAGGGAGGUUGAAGAUUACACGGAGGGGAGUGUUUCUUCAGAGAGAGUUGUUGAACUGUGGAGUUUCUGCUUUCCAGGGAACGGAGGUACUUCUCUAUGACUUUCAGUCAAGUGAGAAAAAUGUGUCAAGGAACCUACCCCGACAGCUUGGCCUGCUCUCUCAGAUUUUAGAAAUGUGAGGGAAGGUCCCUGACACACACCUGGAAAAGUCUAUAGGUGAGAGGCUGUAGCUAACGAGAGCAGAGCAGAAAAAGAGAGCAGCAUAGGGAAGAAAGGAAGUCACUUUUUGGGGGGAGGGAGCUUGCAAAGAUAUAGAUCCCUUGGAAGGGAUCCUGCCAUGAGCUGUCUUGAAAAGGACACUUCCCAAGAGAGCAAAAGAACAGCCUUUCUGGGGUGAAGCGAUCUGGGUGGAAAGAGGCUGGAAGGAUACUGCUACACGCAGAGGCUGAGGGUGGCAGGGGGAGUCAUAAAUGGCCAGCAGGAAGGAGCAUCAUCACACCAGGGAAUUGCAGUUGACGCCCUUGUGUGUGUGUAUGUGUUGGAAGGAGGAAGAGAGUAUCUCUAGCAAACGCGAAAGAUGUUCCAGGGGAAAAAAAGAGUUAGCAUUUGGACAUCCAGCCCUCCAGGGGGCGUCAGUGCCAGAUUACAAUUGUACCAGUCAAGAAACACCAUUUGUGCUGCUUUCCUACCUUCAUCUCACUCCCUAGGGAAGCCCAAAGCCGAAUUGUGGGUGGGGAUAGGAAGAAUAGAUAAACAACAUGGGGAAAUAAGGUUGAAGCUGCCCCUAUGCCCUUUUCCUUCCACACUGCAGGGUUUCAAGCCUGCCUUAGACCUAAUGGAGGAGAAGUUUUACAUUAGAUGAGAGUUUGCAGUCAGCAAAGUGGGUUUGCAGAGGCAGAUGUGAAAGAAAUUAGUUUUCAGAACUUGCUCCUUAUCAAAUUCAAUGGUUUUAGGUCAAUUUUCCUAGAAGCAGAGCCUGAGAUGGGUAUGCAGGUGCCCAGAAUUUACUGACAGUGCUCUCAGGAGAAACCUGUACGGGAUGGAGUGAAUCAGGACAGGGCGCGGGGAAGAAGCCAAGCAAAGAUGUGGUCUCAGUCUCUCAGAACCCAGCCACCAUCUUGUGAGGAAGCUUCCCACGUGGAGAGGGCCUAAGGACUUCUGACAGCAGCCAAAACCAACUUACCAGCUCUGUGAGCGAACCACCUUGGAAGUCUGUCCUCCAGACCAAGUGAAGCCUUCAGAUGACUGUAGUCACACCUAACAUCUGACUAUGACCUCACGAGGGACCCCUAACCAGAACCACUCGGCUAAACUACUGCCGGAUUCACAACCCACAGAAACCAUGAAAGACAUAAAUGGUCAUUGCCAUCUUAACCCGCUAAGUUUUGCAGUGAUUUUUUUUAUGCAGCUUUAGAGAACAAAGGAGAGGAGUGCAACAGAAAGGGGCCAUCCCAGAACCCUCAAAGGUGUGGGGCCUAGGACAGGGCCUCUUUUGCCUGGAUUUAGGGCCGUACUGAGGAAAGGAUAUGGAUUUUAUUUCAGUAGCUGGGUAUUUCCUAGGGAGGGAUGAGCUUAUUUAUACAAAAGAGGAACUUGCAGGACUGAGCAGGUGUUGGAGAUCAGGAAAUGUUUUUAUAAAAGCUGUAACAAAGCAGCCCUUUAUCUGGAGUAUACAAAGAAAUGAAAAUCUAAUGAGACCAUUUAUUUGCUUGAUUGUAUAAACACACAAAAAUGUACACAUCUUGGAAUAGUCACAGCGGAAGGAGAUCUGCUUAAGCCAGUGAUGCCGUCUGUCACUUUUCAAAAAUGCCUGUGAAACUUCUCUUUCGGAAUUGCCCACAAAGCUGGAUUACGAGCUUCCCAUGAAACCAGACUCAUCACUCAAGCUGCGACUUGGUUUGUGACCCCAGACAGCAUUUCCCAGCUUGAUCACCCAACCUACUCAGCAGACUUCGUUCUGAAUGACUUAGAACUGUUUCCAAAACUCACACCCGCCCUUGGAGGAUACAUGCUGUCAGACUUAUCUUUCUGCCACACCUCGGAUCAUGCGCUUCAGUGCCUCUCGGUUGCAUAGAGAAUUAAGCUCCAACAUGUCAGCUAGAUUUUCAGAACUUUAUACAACAUGCAGCCCCCACCUAGCUUUGCAGUUCUAUCAUCCCAGAACACACGAUGCCCUCUCUACUUACUGAUGAUAGGUACCAUUUACUGAGCCCUUAUUAUGUGCCCCACACUGUGCUAAGAGCUUAAUAUAAUCUCUCAUUUUGUCCUUAUAUGACUUUGUAAGAUAAAUGUUAUCUCUAUAGUAUAAAUAAUAAUAAAACAGGGGUCACUAACACUUUGUACAGCAGUUACAAUGUGCUAAGCCACCGUCCAAUAGAAAUAUGAGCCAUAUUUGUCAUUUUAAUUUUCUAAUUGCCACACUAAAAAAGUAAAAACUAGGUGAAAUUGAUUUUAAUAAAGUAUUUUAUCAAUGAG